UUACUUAUCGUCCUCAUGGACGAUGGAUGAUAAGAUAGAUGAUUGUGAUUAGAUUGGUCCUAAUGGCUUCUUGAGAGCACGUUCGGACUUUAGUUAGAAGGUUCCCCAGGAGGUGAUCUCUUCAAUAGACUGAGUUACAACAGCUCUCCAAUUGUGCUCGCAGUGAUGUCAAACGACGAUAACCACGAUGGACAAAGGUACUGCAACGUUUGCGGGGCGUAGUAAAUAUCAUCUCGGAGAGAGGCACGAAAGGACCCUCUCACACAUACGGACCCUUGCUGCUCUCGAAGAACCCGUCUGUCACUCUCGUGGAAUCCGCGGUUCGAAGUCGUUCCCUGGCCUUCUUUUUGAGGAACAUUGACGCGAAUCAGUUGGACUACGAGCGAUACAUGAAGGAUGGAAUUGAAGGCUAUCUUAAAGUCAAUUUCAAUAACAUCACCUCAGCAAAGUCUCAUCCCUCUGGAUCUUUAUAGAACAUUUAGGAAGGAAGAAGGAUAUCACUUUCCGUUCAGAAAUCUGGGUUUUCGAGACUUCGUCGAAUGUCUCUGCAGCCAAAAUUUAUCGGAUACAGUCAAGGUUUUCUUUCUUGCUCGCCGAUGA
rnacentral:lncRNA from 1 species